AAGAAAUUAACGAAGAUUUCCCUAGUAACGGCGAGUGAAAAGGAAAUAGUUCAGCGCCGAAUCCCUUAGCCCUUGGCUAACGGGACCUGUGGCGUGAAAGAGAGCCUAUCUGACGGGUUCUAUACCUCGGAAGCUCCCUCGAAUGGGACCCCAAAGCAGGUGCGAGGCCUGUAACGAGGUGACGCCCGUCAGUUUGAGCCUCUGUAGAGUCGGGUUACUUGAGAGUGUAGCCCUAAGCGGAAGGUAAACCCCUUCUAAAGCUAAAUAUGACCACGAGACCGAUAGCGAACAAGUACCGCGAGGGAAAGUUGAAAAGAACUUUGAAGAGAGAGUUCAAAAGGGCGUGAAACCGCUUAGAAGAAAACGGACGGAGCCGUCAGCGGCUCUCGAGAAUCAGUCGUACGUUGUCGCGAAAGGUGCGCGAGUCGGAACGAAAGUCCGGCCAGUGUACCCGACAUAGUAGCGAUCGCACGGCGCAUUUCUCGAGAGUAAGCACUGCGACCGAUACGAAAGGCUGGCGAAGCGAUCGGAUUGAGGUCGAGACCCGUGAGGGACUCUCGUUACCAGUCCGAUCGUCUCGAAUCGCCAGACCGCAGUAUGUAUCGAGCGCCCGCGAGGUACGUCGGCGUAAACGCUCGCUCGAGUGACGGAUAGUCGAUCGGUUCAUACGGCUCGUAUCUGCUCGCAGAUCCGGGCGAACCUCGGUCGGCUUUGAAGUCAUCGGCGACGCAUCCGACUGUAUCGGCGUCUGCAGUGUCAGUGUCGGUCACCCGUCCGACCCGUCUUGAAACACGGACCAAGGAGUCUAACAUAUGCGCGAGCUAAUGGGUGGAAAACCCAAAGGCGCAAUAAAAGUAAACGCCAUCCUCGAUGGCUAAGAUACGAUCCUGGCGUUCCGCGAGGUCGCUAGGCGCAGUAUCGUCCCGUCCCGACCGCAUGUCGGUAGGGCGGAGAUAGAGUGCAUACGUUGGGACCCGAAAGAUGGUGAACUAUGCCUGAGCAGAGCGAAGCCAGAGGAAACUCUGGUGGAGGUUCGUAGCGGUUCUGACGUGCAAAUCGAUCGUCAGACUUGGGUAU
rnacentral:rRNA from 1 species